rnacentral:rRNA from 2 species
UAGGGAAUCUUCGGCAAUGGACGAAAGUCUGACCGAGCAACGCCGCGUGAGUGAAGAAGGUUUUCGGAUCGUAAAACUCUGUUGUUAGAGAAGAACAAGGACGUUAGUAACUGAACGUCCCCUGACGGUAUCUAACCAGAAAGCCACGGCUAACUACGUGCCAGCAGCCGCGGUAAUACGUAGGUGGCAAGCGUUGUCCGGAUUUAUUGGGCGUAAAGCGAGCGCAGGCGGUUUCUUAAGUCUGUUGUGAAAGCCCCCGGCUCAACCGGGGAGGGUCAUUGGAAACUGGGAGACUUGAGUGCAGAAGAGGAGAGUGGAAUUCCAUGUGUAGCGGUGAAAUGCGUAGAUAUAUGGAGGAACACCAGUGGCGAAGGCGGCUCUCUGGUCUGUAACUGACGCUGAGGCUCGAAAGCGUGGGGAGCAAACAGG